AGUACCAAGUCGAGCGGAAACGAGUUAUCUGAACCUUCGGGGAACGAUAACGGCGUCGAGCGGCGGACGGGUGAGUAAUGCCUAGGAAAUUGCCCUGAUGUGGGGGAUAACCAUUGGAAACGAUGGCUAAUACCGGUACAUGCCUACGGGCCAAAGAGGGGGACCUUGGGCCCUCUCGCGUCAGGAUAUGCCUAGGUGGGAUUAGCUAGUUGGUGAGGUAAGGGCUCACCAAGGCGACGAUCCCUAGCUGGUCUGAGAGGAUGAUCAGCCACGUCAGAACUGAGACACGGUCCAGACUCCUACGGGAGGCAGCAGUGGGGAAUAUUGCACAAUGGGCGCAAGCCUGAUGCAGCCAUGCCGCGUGUAUGAAGAGCUAGCUCGGGUUGUAAAGUACUUUCAGUCGUGAGGAAGGCGGCGUCGUUAAUAGCGGCGUUGUUUGACGUUAGCGACAGAAGAAGCACCGGCUAACUCCGUGCCAGCAGCCCGGGUAAUACGGAGGGUGCGAGC
rnacentral:rRNA from 1 species